ensembl:lncRNA
GUUUGCUGUCUUGUGUCAGUCUGUAAACUUUGUUUGCUCAAAUAUUUUCCUUGCCAGUCGAGUUUCUGACCCAGCCUUGUUGUUGUUGUUGUUGUUGUUGUGUUUUUUUUUUUUUUUUUUCGGUCUGGUGUUCCUACUUUUUGUCCUCUUUGCCCGUCUGCCCCUCUAGGACUCUGGGGAUUUUUCUACCUUUCCGCUCGCUGUUGAGAAGCCUGUAUCUACUAGGCAGCCGACUCCACUCACCUCUCACUUGGCACUGCCUCUAGAUUCCAGCGGUGGCUUUCCACUGUUGGUCUUCGACUUUCCCUCACCGAUGUCCGGCUGUUGCUGGUGUAGUCUCCAUGCUGGUCUUUCCGACAGAGUGCUGGCGGUUUCGUCAUCCGGCCAACUGAGUCUUCAGUGUUUGUUAAUAAACUUUAAUAUUCAUUCACCUGCUGUUGGAUCCUGGUCUUACUUCUGACACUGUUCUAAUUAUUUAAUGUGGUGUACAGAAGAACUUGGUGACUUUAACAUUUUCUCAUAUUUAUGCAUUUGGUUGUUAUUGCAAAGAAACUUUAUUGCAUUCCCAUUUUUAAUGAGAUGCUCAAUUAGGAGUGAUGGACAGGUGUCCACACAUGUUUAGCCGAACUAUAUUGUUAUCUCUGCAAAUCACUGAGCUGUUUUUACCAUACCAACAUGCACCUUUCUGCAAACUUUUGUGUAGGACUUCCUGUUGAUAUUUCACCUGGAUCAAUCUCAACACAACAUAUUGCUUGUUUGUAGAAACAUAUUACAACAAGUGGAAGUUGUGGCCUUAUAGUUAGAGACUCCUAACCCUAAGGUUGUGGGUUCGAGUUUUAGGCCGGCAAUACCAUGUUUUGGGUCCAUAAAAAAUUUGGCAACCAUUGUAGAGGUAGGUUUACUAAAAAAUAAAGUGACCCUUCAAUACUUGCAUUUCUGUUAUCCUGUAAGAAUGUUUCAUGUGUGUUUAUUUUUUAUUAUUAUUUUUUUUAUUUAUUUUGCAGAUGGAGGAUCUAUCGUGGCCAAAAUUUGUAUCAAAAAAGGCCAAGGUCAGCUGGGUUAAGAGUCACAGACAGAGUCUGGUGGCACAAACAGUGGAUGAAGAGUUGGAUGAAGAAAGACAAAUCUGUGUUGAUUUGGCACACAAAGGUCUCAAUGGUUGCUGCUGUCCUGCUGUUUCCACUUCUGUUAAAGGAGAGUCUGAGAUCUCUUUAUGUCAUCAGUGAGGAACCACAUACACCCAGCCCUGUGCUGUUUAUAAAGGGACAUGCCUUGGAUGCAGAGUCUCUUUUAGAAAUAAUGAUGGAAGGGGGAGGUCUGUGAAGCAGACGAUGUGAACACAGCUCUACACUUCAUCUUCAACACUGAAUAUGCUUCAAAGAUGAAAGACAACCUGACAUUUACUGAUAAUAUAUUUGUUAAUUAAAUUAAUGUAUAUGUAUAUAAAUGCAUGAAAUUUAUUGUUGUUUAUUUAUGUGUUUGUUUGUAAUACAUAUUUAUUGAUGAUUGUUUAUUUAUUUGUGUUUGUUGGUUUGUUUGUAAUACAUAUUUAUGUAUUAAACAGUUUAAGGACAAUCAUGGAGUUCUGUCUUUAUAGUGAAAUUGCAUUAGUAAUGUAUAAUAAUAACAACAAUAAUAUUAUUGCUGUCUAGAAAAAGGUUCAAAAAGGAACUGAUGAGGGUCAUUAAUGCACCUUUAAGUGAAGGUUCCAAUUAGAACCUUUUCAAAAAUGUUAAAAAAUUAACCUUUAAGGUUCCCACACAGUUGCAAUCACCAGGAACCUCAAAAGGUUCAUUUUUGAACCUUUUCUUCUAAGAGUGUAGAUAUAUAAAAUAGCUUGCAUGUCUUGCAUCAUCCCUAUAAAUUUCUAAACAUUUGUGGAAAGAACUUCUGCUUUCAAUAUUACUUUGUUGGGUUAUUGAUUUCACAAUAUUUUCUUAUGGUUUUAAGUUUCAAAAUGAGCACUGAACAAAAUCAGGCAUUAUAAAGUACGCCUACAUAAAAAAAAAAAAAAAAAAAAAAAUCCACAAGUCUUAUGUGAUGGGUGCUGCAAUUUUGUUUACUAAGAAAAUGUAAACAUUAUUAUUGUUAAACAAAUGAAAGCAUUUAAAAAAAUAAAUAAAUAAAUAAUGUAUAUAUUGUA